rnacentral:rRNA from 1 species
UAAGGAAUAUUGCUCAAUGGGAGAAAUCCUGAAGCAGCAACGCCGCGUGGAGGAUGAAGGGUCUAUGACUUGUAAACUCCUGUAAAGAAGGAAAAAAUUCCCAUUUGAUGGGAGAUGAUGGUACUUCUGGAGUAAGCCCCGGCUAACUACGUGCCAGCAGCCGCGGUAAUACGUAGGGGGCAAGCGUUGUCCGGAUUUACUGGGUGUAAAGGGUGCUCAGGCGGAUUUGUAAGUCAGAGGUGAAACCUUACAGCUUAACUGUGAAACUGCCUUUGAUACUGCAAGCCUAGAGUAUGGAAGAGAGUGAUGGAAUAUCUGGUGUAGCAGUGAAAUGCGUAGAUAUCAGAUAGAACACCAAUGGCGAAGGCAGUCACUUGGUCCAUUACUGACGCUAAAGCACGAAAGCGUGGGUAGCAAACA